UACGUAGGGGGCUAGCGUUGUCCGGAUUUAUUGGGCGUAAAGAGCGCGUAGGCGGCCAGGUAAGUCCGACGUGAAAUCUGGAGGCUCAACCUCCAGCGGUCGUUGGAAACUACUUGGCUAGAGUCCGGAAGAGGAGAGUGGAAUUCCUGGUGUAGCGGUGAAAUGCGCAGAUAUCAGGAAGAACACCGAUGGCGAAGGCAGCUCUCUGGGACGGUACUGACGCUGAGGCGCGAAAGCGUGGGGAGCGAACAGG
rnacentral:rRNA from 1 species